rnacentral:tRNA from 1 species
GCGCGCGUCGUCCAACGGCAGGACGCCGCCCCGCCCUUGCCCGCCAGAGCUCGGGGGUGCACCGGGGAUCAACGGAAACGCGGGUUCGACUCCCGCCGCGCGCA